rnacentral:rRNA from 1 species
ACUAGUGAUUCGCCGUGCCCAGCGGGGCACGGGGGGACGGGGCGCAGCAGGCGCGAAACCUCUGCAAUAGGCGAAAGCUUGACAGGGUUACUCUGAGUGAUGUCCGCUAAGGGCAUCUUUUGGCACCUCUAAAAAUGGUGCAGAAUAAGGGGUGGGCAAGUCUGGUGUCAGCCGCCGCGGUAAUACCAGCACCCCGAGUGGUCGGGACGAUUAUUGGGCCUAAAGCAUCCGUAGCUUGUUCUGCAAGUCCUCCGUUAAAUCCACCUGCUCAACAGAUGGGCUGCGGAGGAUACUACAGGGCUAGGAGGCGGGAGAGGCAAACGGUACUCAGUGGGUAGGGGUAAAAUCCUCUGAUCCAUUGAAGACCACCAGUGGCGAAGGCGGUUUGCCAGAACGCGCUCGACGGUGAGGGAUGAAAGCUGGGGGAGCAAACCGGAUUAGAUACCCGGGUAGUUCCAGCUGUAAACGAUGCAGACUCGGUGAUGGGUUGGCUUCGAGCCAACCCAGUGGCCGCAGGGAAGCCGUUAAGUCUGCCGCCUGGGGAGUACGGUCGCAAGACUGAAACUUAAAGGAAUUGGCGGGGGAGCUCCACAAGGGGUGAAGCCUGCGGUUCAAUUGGAGUCAACGCCGGGAAUCUUACCGGGGGCGACAGCAGUGUGAAGGUCAAGCUGAAGACUUUACCAGACAAGCUGAGAGGAGGUGCAUGGCCGUCGCCAGCUCGUGCCGUGAGGUGUCCUGUUAAGUCAGGUAACGAGCAAGAUCCCUGCCUCUAGUUGCUACCACUGUUCUCCGGAACGGAGGGGCUAAUUAGAGGGACCGCCGCCGCUGAGGCGGAGGAAGGAGGGGGCUACGGCAGGUCAGUAUGCCCCGAAACCCUCGGGCCACACGCGGGCUGCAAUGGUAAGGACAGCGAGUUCCGAUUCCGAAAGGAGGAGGCAAUCUCACAAACCUUACCUCAGUUAUGAUUGAGGGCUGAAACUCGCCCUCAUGAAUAUGGAAUCCCUAGUAACCGCGUGUCACCAUCGCGCGGUGAAUACGUGGGUGAUCCUUGCACGAAUUCGCCGAAUCCCGCGGCCAUGGCGGCCUGUGAGCAUGCGAGAAAGGGCCCAAUUCUCCCUAUAGGAGUGAUAUUACAAUUC